GCCUUUGUGUUCAGUGGUUAGAGCACUGGUUGGCAAACCAAAGGGUUCUGGGUUCAAUUCCUGGUCAAGGGCA
rnacentral:tRNA from 1 species